ACCGUUGCUCGUCGCAAACGACAAAAUCUGGAAUACUGUUACGUUCUUGUUAUCCUCGAAUCACGUAAUUUUCCCGUAUCGUUUUAUUUAUUUUAUUUUUUUUUAAUUUUUUUUUUUACGUACUUAUUCCAAUGAUUCGGAUGGUUAUUCAAAGCGCAAUAUUCGAAAGUCUAAGGUGUAUUCUCCGUUUAGUUCGCAACAAAGUUGUUCAGUUUUUUUUUUUUCUGCAGAUGAUGCAAACCGGUGACCGAGUUGAAUUCUCCAUGUUUCGUUACAGCAUGCCACGUCGCCGGGAACAGGAUUCAUUGGUAAAACAUAUAACAUACUGCGAGAUUUAACAGCAGAAAACGAUGAACAUGUGUACCGCGUAUUGCAAUGUCACGGUUAAUCGUCAUGAGGGGUUGUUCAACGAAGAAGAAAAUGCUUAUAUUUAUGAUACUGAAGUGUGAAAGCAUCGAAGUUUCAUAGAAAUGUCAGUAAAACAUUAGUAACGGCUUACUAUGAUUUCAUAUUUUUUUUGUUAAAUAUUUUUUUAAUUUUGUCUUUCAUUUAUCUUUUUUGUUUAAAUUA